rnacentral:rRNA from 1 species
UACGGAGGAUCCGAGCGUUAUCCGGAUUUAUUGGGUUUAAGGGGUGCGUAGGCGGCCUGUUAAGUCAGGGGUGAAAGACGGUAGCUCAACUAUCGCAGUGCCCUUGAUACUGAUGGGCUUGAAUGUACUAGAGGUAGGCGGAAUGUGACAAGUAGCGGUGAAAUGCAUAGAUAUGUCACAGAACACCAAUUGCGAAGGCAGCUUACUAUGGUAUUAUUGACGCUGAGGCACGAAAGCGUGGGGAUCAAACAGG